rnacentral:lncRNA from 1 species
AAUUACCGUUGACUGACUUAAAUCAAAUAAAUUAAAAAAUUAGAUAGUAAAAUCAAAAUUUGAAAGGUUUGGUACGUAGCCAAAGUAAAAUAACUUGUAAGUUGAGGUAGCUCUACACGUUUUUACCUUUAAUUAUUUUUGAAUGAAUGGUUUUAGAAAUACGCUAUAUAUAUAGAGAGAGAAUGAUAUUAUACUUUUAUGAAUAUAGAUUCCUUUAUAGUCAUAAGUUUUCGAUCGUUAGAUUUAUUCAUUUGAUCGUUUUCAUUCGUUAGAUUACACUAUUUAACCAACCAUCCACUCACCCUUAGAGAGGAACCAUUAUAUAUCAUUCUAACCGGGGACUAAAAUUUAUAAGUAUAAAGAGAUUUAUGUAUACUUCAGUAGUCCUAACAUGUAAUAAUUAUUUUAAUUUAUUUCAAAUCAAUAUAAAUUUGUAUAUCAUAUUUAUUUAAAAAUUAUAAUAAAAAUUAUAUUUUAUAAUUUAUAUGUUAUAUUUUAUUAGAAAAUAUUUGCAUAUCUUAUACUGUUCUUUCAAAUUUUAAUUUUAAUGUAAAAUAGAUGGAUAGGAAUAUUAUUUUUUAACAGAUUGAAUCUAAUCGUUCACUUUUAUUUGAAAUAUUUUUUAAUAAAUUGAUCAUAACCGUUUGUAAAAUUGGAUAUAUAGAUAGAUAGAAAUUCUAUUUAAUUUUUAACAAAUUGAUCAUAACUAUUCGUUUUUAUUUGAAAUAUUUGUUUAGGAAAUUGAUUAUAAACGUUCGUAGGAAAUAUUCUUUUACUAUUUUUUUGAUUCCAUCUGUUAUUAUAAGAAUUUCUAUAUAUUUAUAUAUAUAUAUAGUAUAGAUAUAGAUAUGAAUAAUUUUAAGAUAAAUUAUAGGGUUGAGAUGACACUAAUCUCCUAAGAUUUAAUAUU